rnacentral:tRNA from 1 species
GGAGAAAUACUCAAGUGGCUGAAGAGGCGCCCCUGCUAAGGGCGUAGGUCGGGUUACCGGCGCGAGAGUUCAAAUCUCUCUUUCUCCGCCA